UGCCGAGCAAGUGUUUAGAGACAAAGUGAACACACGUUCUACAAGUACAGGACUGCAGACACUGGUGCUGACCUCUUUUCAGCUUUUUAUAGAGAAGCACCACCAUGUAACAACACAGGUGCAUCACUUCCUUGACAGUCCAGAACAUCUUAUAACAACAACAAAGGUUCUCACUAAGGAGUACCUCACGCUACGGCUGAGAGAGUCAUCUCGACGGACAAGUGAGCAAGCCCAGGGAUCCUAUGCAUGCCGAAACUGAGGGGCAGACGGGUUAUUGUUCCAGCCACCUCGUUGGCGGAUGCAGCAGAAGAAUAGCUCCAAGUGGUCUUGGCUGAGUCGGCGGCAGCAAGCACGUCAACGGAAUCAACUGGAUGUGAUGCGGAGGUCAUGGCUGAAGCAAGUGCUGGGGACCCACUUCACGGCGCCUCACAAGGGGGUUGUUAUCCCCUGAUUCCAGGAAGAGGAAAACAAAGGACACACACUUGCAUAGCGUAUUAGUACCCCAGAUAUGGAUCUGCCAACAGGAACCCUCCUAACAUCCCUGUGGCAGCAUACCUGUAACCAUCCAGACUUCACACCACAUUAAUUUAGAAUCACAGCACAACAUAAUAAAAUAGCUUAGGUUUAUUUGCCUGCCAUACAUAAUGGGAGGCAAAUAAACCUAAGCUAUUUUGUUAUUCCCACUCCGUCAUACUCCACUGUACAAUAAAUUGAUACAAUUAUA